GUAAGGAAUAUUGGUCAAUGGAGGCAACUCUGAACCAGCCAUGCCGCGUGCAGGAAGACGGCCCUCUGGGUUGUAAACUGCUUUUAUCUGGGAAUAAACCUGCUUACGUGUAAGUAGCUGAAUGUACCAGAAGAAUAAGGAUCGGCUAACUCCGUGCCAGCAGCCGCGGUAAUACGGAGGAUCCAAGCGUUAUCCGGAUUUAUUGGGUUUAAAGGGUGCGUAGGCGGCCUGUUAAGUCAGGGGUGAAAGACGGUGGCUCAACCAUCGCAGUGCCCUUGAUACUGAUGGGCUUGAAUGGACUAGAGGUAGGCGGAAUGAGACAAGUAGCGGUGAAAUGCAUAGAUAUGUCUCAGAACACCGAUUGCGAAGGCAGCUUACUAUGGUCUUAUUGACGCUGAGGCACGAAAGCGUGGGGAUCGAACAGGAUUAGAUACCCUUGUAGUCC
rnacentral:rRNA from 1 species